GGUUUUCAUCCAACUUGUUAUAGACGUUUCAUCGAUAAGAAACGAAUUGCCAGUGCUGAAAAACUAGCAGAAAAACGGGGAGCAUGUGGUGGUGACAACAAUGAUUCUGAUUCUGAUCACGAGUCUUCCACAACCACGUCCACGACUAGCCGGCCACCAUCUCCAAAACGGUUGAGAUCCACGACUAAAUCAUCGAGGUCUGGCAAUGUACUUCCUGCUGUCUGUAUAAUUUGCAAGAGGGUUGACCGCUUUGUGAAAGAAGGACUCAAGACAAAGAUAAAUUGGUCCAAGCAGAAACUAUAAAUGCUGGGAGUUUGGUUAAAGCAGCUGAACUGAAAAUGGACGAAUCCAUCCUCAAGGAUGUACGUGGAAAAGAUUGUUUCGCAAUUGAAGUGCGGUACCACAAACGGUGCUACAAAUAAUAUACAAGAUUUCUGGUGGCUACAACAAGUGAUGAAAGGAUGCCAAAAGCCUGGGAGUAUGCCACUGUGUGUCUUCCCCUUCAGAGAAGCUUUUGCUUCUUACAAAGGAUGCCCUCUACCAGCACAGCUUGCAAGCCAAUUAUCAAGCAGCUAUUCACCGGAGAUCGCUUGAGCAACAGAUCUA